GACGAACGCUGGCGGCGUGCUUAACACAUGCAAGUCGAACGGAAAGGCCCUGCUUUUGUGGGGUGCUCGAGUGGCGAACGGGUGAGUAACACGUGAGUAACCUGCCCUUGACUUUGGGAUAACUUCAGGAAACUGGGGCUAAUACCGGAUAGGAGCUCCUGCUGCAUGGUGGGGGUUGGAAAGUUUCGGCGGUUGGGGAUGGACUCGCGGCUUAUCAGCUUGUUGGUGGGGUAGUGGCUUACCAAGUCUUUGACGGAUAGCCGGCCUGAGAGGGUGACCGGCCACAUUGGUACUGAGGUACGGCCCAGACUGGUACGGUAGGCAGCGGGCGGGAAUAUUACACAAUGGGCGGAAGCCUGAUGCAGCAGCGCCGCGUGCGGGAUGACGUCCUUCGGGUUGUGAACCGCUUUCGCCUGUGACGAAGCGGUAGUGACGGUAAUGAGUAAAGAAGCACCGGCUAACUACGUG
rnacentral:rRNA from 1 species